GACGAACGCUGGCGGCGUGCCUAAUACAUGCAAGUCGAGCGGGGAUUAUGCUUGAUCGCUUCGGUGAGACGGCAGAUAUCCUAGCGGCGGACGGGUGAGUAACGCGUGGGUAAUCUACCUCGUAGUUCGGGAUAACAGGCCGAAAGGCUUGCUAAUACCGGAUGAGUUCAUGCUUAUGCAUAUAGGCAUGAAGAAAGGGCUAGCCCGCUAUGAGACGAGCCCGCGUCCCAUUAGCUUGUUGGUGGGGUAAUGGCCUACCAAGGCAACGAUGGGUAGCCGGCCUGAGAGGGUGUACGGCCACACUGGGACUGAGACACGGCCCAGACUCCUACGGGGGGCAGCAGUAGGGAAUUUUCGGCAAUGGGCGAAAGCCUGACCGAGCGACGCCGCGUGAGGGACGAAGGCCUUCGGGUUGUAAACCUCUGUCUGGGGGAUGAGAACGGACGGUACCCCGGACGGAAGCCCCGGCUAACUACGUG
rnacentral:rRNA from 1 species